AUGGCCUCCCGGAUGAGAUCUUCAUUUGGGAGAUCCUCGUCCGCCUCCACCUCUGCCCGCGACUUCCUCCUGUCCCACCACGGCCGUCAGCCCACCCACCCCCUCCUCCACUGCUACAACUUUGUCGGCGACGAAGUUGACUCCCUAGAUAUCAUCCCCUUUGACCACCGGGCAGGGGUCGUCGCCGCCGACCAGCUACAGUCCGUCGCACGGCUUGGACACGCCUUCUUCCGUCCGUUGGCCUCCUGCGACGGCCUCGUCGUCCUCACCAAGAACUACGCCCGCUUCUCCAUCUGCAACCCGGCAACUCGUCAGUAUGCUCCACUCCCUCUGCUUUCUGACUUCAUUUUCUUGGGGAUGUACCAGCACGGCCCUACCGGCGAGUACCGGUUUUUGCUGGGACCUGAAGCUCAAGAUGGCUGCUUUGUCUACACAUUAGGCUCCGGCCUGCCCCCGAGGCACGUAGACAUAGACUGCCCCGAUGUGGAGGAAGAUGAACUUAUAUACCCCUCCGGAUCUGUCCUGUUCCAUGGUAGCCUGCAUUUGUGCAUAGGCAACAUGAUAGUUGCAUUCAACACCACCGCAGAGUCGUUCCGUCAGAUGCGCGCUCCAGUUGAUCCUUGGGGCGCUGACCUGUUUGAGAUGGAUGGAAUGCUCGGAAUGUCCAUCUACAAUGAUGCGUCGACAUCCAUUGAUAUAUGGAGAACGCAGGACUAUGAAAGCGACGUCUGGGCCUUGAAAUACCGGGUUGAAUUGCCGGUUGCAGAGUUUGGAAACUUUAGCAAACAUUGGUGUGUGGUGGUCGUCUCUUCAGACGGUGAUGUGCUUGUGCUAGUCAAAGUUGAUGACCGGCUACUUCAGAUUGACGUGGAUGGCAAGCUGGUUGCCAGUUUCCAUCGCAGAGGUCUGGGUCCUACUCGACAUUGGCUCAAACAAACUCUAGUUUCACAUGCAUUGUUUCCGGCACUAGAAGGGUACGUUGUGAACUCUUUACCUUUCCUCUGA
rnacentral:rRNA from 1 species